rnacentral:pre_miRNA from 1 species
AAAAAGACAAACCCUGAGUUUCUGUGUCCAAUUUUGAUUGUCCGUCUUAUAUAAAAUUUUUUAUAAUUCGUAUUUUUGUUGUUGUUAGAUGAUAAAACAUGAUUAAUAUUUUAUGCGUGACUUGUCUUUUCAAUUUUUUUCAUAAUUUUUUUAAAUAAGACAGACGGUCAAACGUUGGGCACAGAAACCAGGGUUUGUCUUUUU